AAUACGUUCCCGGGCCUUGUACACACCGCCCGUCACACCACGAAAGUCGGCAACACCCGAAGCCGGUGGCCUAACCCGUUAAGGGGAGGAGCCGUCGAAGGUGGGGUCGGUGAUUGGGGUG
rnacentral:rRNA from 1 species